AAUGCCCUAACUGUCAAUUUUCAUUCAAUUUUUACAAUUGUAAGAAGCUCCAGCGUGGCGUCACAGGAAAAAUUGUGACCAACGUGGCAGUCAAAGUGUUAGGAAACACCGAAACAGCUAGAAUUCCUGUACUACACAUGCGAGUGGAAGUAAAGUUCAAAUCUCCACAAUGUAAGAACUCGUCAAGUUGUCUCGAAAUUGAGAUACAAAGGCGCGACGCUAACCAGAAUCGAAAUGAAAUUAAAAAUACAAUGGAGAAUAAAGGUCCAAAGCGACACGAUUAUUAUGAAGCCGACCUUUCGAAUUAAUAGACGCGGAUCGUACCUCGUCGACCGUACCGCACGGCUAGUUACGACUUCGAAGAGGUCGUCGCGGGAACGCCAACGACGACGACGACGCGUCACCGAGUUCCCGAAGAAAAUUACGAACUUUCUCGUGGUUCUCUCUAGUUUAAGGUGUCCGCUGAUGAAACUCGUGGGAGUCGACCGAUAUCCCAGCUACCGUUCAUCAUCGAGCAGACAAUUGUCUGCAACUACUGGAUCUUCGACGCGACGAAUAAAAUCGGAGCAACGAUGGUGCUAGUCUAAAGCUAUAUUGCAAAGAUACAUUCUAAUGUAUAUAUGUACAGUGACUCACGGAAAUAUUUGAACAUUUAACACGGAAAGGUUUAACGAAUAUGUUACGCGUUUUACGGAGAUUUUUACAAUUCCAUUGGAACUAUAACGGGGCAUUAUAAUUAAAUAAUAAUUAAAAAUAAGAUAAUAAUUUAAAAUCAGUACGAAGUUGUACGUAGAAGUUACAAGAUUUUUAUUGCAAACGCACUCUUAGUAAGAAAUUAGCACGUGAAACCUGGAACGUACAGUUAACGUUAAAGGUGAUGAUUCUUCUUAAUAUAGAAAAAAACUUUUUAAUUUAGAAUUUCAAAGAUCUGAAAUUAAUACGCGAUAAAGAGGCUAGUACGAAAGGACUUGGAGAUGUUAAACGUUAAUAAUACAAAAAUUAACGUAAUGACAGCUUCUGCAGUUAAUACGUUCUACCUUGCUUUUGACAGCGAAAUUUCACUGAAAUUUCCUGUAGAGGCUUUUAUUAUAUUAUCAGGCAAGUUACGUAAUUAGGUAGAAUUGACAGCGAAGUUUUCUCGCUGAAACUUCUUUUAGAAACUUCUAUUAAUUUAA